GGAGUCUGGGCCGUAUCUCAGUCCCAAUGUGGCCGAUCACCCUCUCAGGCCGGCUACCGAUCGUCGCCUUGGUGGGCCGUUGCCCCGCCAACUAGCUAAUCGGACGCAAGCUCAUCCCAUACCGAUAAAUCUCUAGUCAACCCUCCAUGCGGAGGGCCACUCUCCUGGACAUUAACCGCGCGUUGGCACGGGUAUGCCCUACUAUGGGGAAGGUUGGAUACGCGUUACUCACCCGUGCGCCGGUCGCCAUCUAUCAAAGCAAGCUUCGAUAAUGCUGCCCCUCGACUUGCAUGUGUUAAGCCUGUAGCUAGCGUUCAUC
rnacentral:rRNA from 1 species